UGAUUACGACGUCGCCUAUCUUCAGGGCGU
rnacentral:sRNA from 1 species